GAUGAACGCUGGCGGCGUGCCUAAUACAUGCAAGUCGAGCGAACAGACGAGGAGCUUGCUCCUCUGACGUUAGCGGCGGACGGGUGAGUAACACGUGGAUAACCUACCUAUAAGACUGGGAUAACUUCGGGAAACCGGAGCUAAUACCGGAUAAUAUAUUGAACCGCAUGGUUCAAUAGUGAAAGACGGUUUUGCUGUCACUUAUAGAUGGAUCCGCGCCGCAUUAGCUAGUUGGUAAGGUAACGGCUUACCGAGGCAACGAUGCGUAGCCGACCUGAGAGGGUGAUCGGCCACACUGGAACUGAGACACGGUCCAGACUCCUACGGGAGGCAGCAGUAGGGAAUCUUCCGCAAUGGGCGAAAGCCUGACGGAGCAACGCCGCGUGAGUGAUGAAGGUCUUCGGAUCGUAAAACUCUGUUAUUAGGGAAGAACAAAUGUGUAAGUAACUAUGCACGUCUUGGCGGUACCUAAUCAGAAAGCCACGGCUAACUACGUG
rnacentral:rRNA from 1 species